GAGGGAGAAAGCCCGCAAGGGUGAGUAAACCGGCGAACGGGUGCGUAACACGUGGAUAAUCUACCUCGGUGACCGGGACAACUGGCCGAAAGGCUUGCUAAUACCGGAUAAGCCCACGGGAGCUUCGGCUCCAGAGGGAAAAGGUGGCCUCUGCAUGCAAGCUAUCACACCGAGAUGAGUCCGCGGCCCAUCAGCUAGUUGGCGGGGUAAAAGCCCACCAAGGCAACGACGGGUAGCUGGUCUGAGAGGAUGAUCAGCCACACUGGAACUGAGACACGGUCCAGACUCCUACGGGAGGCAGCAGUGGGGAAUCUUGCGCAAUGGGCGAAAGCCUGACGCAGCAACGCCGCGUGUGUGAUGAAGGCCUUCGGGUUGUAAAGCCCUGUGGGGAGGGACGAAUAAGUCGGAGCCAAUACCUCCGGCGAUGACGGUACCUCCUUAGCAAGCACCGGCUAACUCUGUG
rnacentral:rRNA from 1 species